AAACGUCUAAUAUGUUGUGUCUUUUUGCCAAAUGCAUUUCUUUCGCGCUUAAUAAAAUCAUUUGCCUUCUAUUUAUUUUGCACUUCAACGGAAUCCAAACUCUUUUCUUCUUCGCUGUUAGUUUUCAAAGUUUCAUCUUCAACAGAAUCGCUUUCUUUCUGGUUAUUUUUAUAUUUUUUUUAUUUUCAAAGUCCUUUCUUUUCGGCCAUGUUGGAUUCAGAAUUUUAAGCCAUAUACUUUGUGUUAUAUUCAUUAUAAACUUCUUAUCAUGAACACGCGAGGUCUUCGGACCUGUCUGUGCGCAGUGGUGCCGAUUGAAUUUAUACUCGGGUAAAAGUAGAAUUAACAAUAAAACGACUUGAGUAAGACUAAAAAGUACUGGAGGCAAAACGUACUUAAGUAAAAAGUACAAAG